CUGAAAUGAAUGUGUUAGGCCAUUUUUGCAUUGCCAUAAAGAAAUAUCUGAGGCUGGAUAACUUUAAAAAAAAAAAAAAAAAGAGGUUUAUUUAGCUCACAGUUCUGCAGGCUGUACAGGAAGUGUGAUGCCAGCAUCUGCUCAGCUUCUGGGGAGGCCUCUGGGAGCUCUCACUCAUGGUGGAAAGCAAGGGGGUGGGGUACACACAUCACACUCGAGAGCAGGAGCAUGAGAGAAAACGGGAGGUCCCAGACACUUUUGAACAACCAGAUCUCACGUGAAAUGAGUGAGAACUCGCUCAUCACCAAGGGAAUGGUGCUAAGUCAUUCAUGAGGAUCCACCGCCAUGACCCAACACCUCCCACCAGGCCCCACCUCCAACAUCUGGGAUCGAAUUUCAGCAUGAGAUUUGGAAGGGGCGAACAUCCAAACAGUAGCAAUGUCCUAAGGAUGCAACCCCCCCACCCCCCGGAGAACUCUACGGCAUUCUAAUGAAACGGUUCGCCCUUCAUGUUAUUACAGAGCAAGGCUGCAUUUCCAUCAUUGUCCUUUUAAAUGCUUAAGUGAGCCCAGUUACCAAUCAAUACUACUGACAACAGGAAGAGGAAAAGAAGGAAGAAUCAGCGAUACAAAGAGCACAAAGUCAAAAUGAGUCCAACCACUGGACAUGGGUGUCACUGGCAGAAACUUCCAGAAGCUUGGUUCAACAUUACCUGCCACAGGCUCAACCUUAAGGCUUUGAGCUGAUACAAGAACUCCAAGAAUUGUUUCCUGGCACAAUUUCACUCAUUUGCCAAGUUCUACAGCGUGGGAACCUGCAAAGCCUCCCCAUCUCAUCACCACUACGUGACCCAUUCGUUCCACACUGGCCUACGGGGCGUCCAUCCAGGGAGGCGUGUAGCUGUGGCCAGGAUGCAGCAGAGGACAUCUCGGAGUCCCUGCCCUCAUGGGCUCCUGGGACUGUGAAGGGGACAGUCAACAAACAGAAGAGUGCUGGGAGUGUCAAGAGGUGAUGAUCGCCCAGAGGAAAAGACAAGGUCCCUGCAGGAAGCUCGGCCUUCUCCAGAUGCCACUUAGGAGUCAAUCCUUGUUCCAAAGAAAGAGAGCAUAGAAUGCAAACUUGUGUCAGGUUGAAGAGGCUGGGGACAGGGGCAUCCCAGGCUGCUCAUCCACAGGUCAUCGUCACUCGGCUCCUAAAGAGUACAUCGUCGUGGAGGAAGGACAGACAGAAAACAUGAUCUGCUGGCUCCAGACCCACACCUCGCUGGCCCCUCUGGCCUCUCCCAUCACUCACCUGCAGGGCAACCGCCUCCAGCCCUCACCUGCAUUCCUGGGAUUCCUGCAGCUACAUCCUCCCUGGUCUCCCAGCUCUGCUCUUUUGAGCCUCCACAUGGGGCCCAGAGAUAUUCUUUCAUGAAGUGAGUCAGGUGGGAACCACCCAAAUGUCUGUCACCUGAUGCAUGGAGAAAUAAAUUGUUGUCUGUCCACGUGAUGGACUAUUCCUCAGCCAUGGCAAGGGAUGAAGUGCUGGCCCACACUCCGACGUGGAUGAACUGAAAACAUUCUGCUGAGGGAAAGAAACCAUCACAAAAGGCUUGUAGGAUUCCAUAGAUAUGAAAUACCCAGAAUAGGCGAAUCCACAGACACAGAAAGUGGUUGUCAGGGGCUGGGGGGAGGGAGGACGUGGCGUGACUGUGCAUAGACUAAGAGUCUCUUUUUGGGGUGAUGAAAGUGAGCCUGUUUUGGGGGUGAUGAAGUUCUGGAAUUAGAAAGUGGUGAUGGCUGCACAACGUUGUGAAUCUACUGAAUUAAACACUUUAAAAUCACUAAAAUGGUGAAUUUUAUCUUAUGUGCCUUUUAUACCAACUUUUAUUACUUUUUUGAGACAGAGUCUUACUUUGCUGCCCAGGCUGGAGUGCAGUGGCGUGAUCACAGCUCACGGCAGCAUCAACCUCCGGUGCUCAAGCGAUUCUCCCACCUCAGCCCCCUGAGUAGCUGGGACUACACGCGUACGCCAUCAUGCCUGGCUCAUUAUUUUAUUCUUUGUCGAGACGGGGUCUCUCUAUGUUGCCCAGGCUGCUCUCAAACUCCUGUCCUCAAACAAUCCUCCCACCUCAGCCUCCCAAAGUGAGAUUGCAAUCCAAUCCAAAGUUGGAUUGCAAGCAUGAGCGCCAAUUUUUUUUUAAAGUAAGCCAGAGCAUGACAACACCUAGCAUAAAACCGACCAGACCAGAGGCUCCCCCACCUCACCCUAAAGCCUCACCAUGACCUACGCGAUUCUCCCAGUGUGCUCUCAUGCCUGGCCACUUCCCCGGCACCUCCUACCUCCACUGUUCUGUCCCCAUGCUCUUCAGCCAUGCUGGCUUCCUUGCUGAACCUUGAACUGCCCAAAUACACUGCUGACUUGGGGUCUUGGCGUAAGCCAUUCCGUUUGCUAGAAACAUCUUCCCUGGGUCUUCCCACUGCUUCCUCACUCCAUCAGGCCUCAUCUCAGAAGCCACCUUCUCUCACACGCUGGGCUAAAAUGCCUCCCUCCCCUGGCCCACUGCUCUGCUGUCUGGCCUCCUUCCUUUUCUCUUGGCAACACCCCUCCUGAACUCAUACACUUGUUCACUAAUGUAUGUGGUUGUUUAGAGUCUGUCUCCUGCACAGCAGGUCAGCUCCGCGAGAGCAGGGACCAGGUCUGGUUUUGUCCACUGCAGUAUCUCAGUAACCAGGACAGUUCCUGGUACACAGUGCUGAAUAGAUCCAGUGACAUAGCAUCGUUUAUGUCUAAAUUAUUAGAAAACCAGGCCGGGUGCAGUGGCUCACACCUGUAAUCCCAACACUUUGGGAGGCUGAGGAGGGUGGAUCACCUGAGGUCAGGAGUUCAAGACCAGCCUGGCCAACAUGGUGAAACCCCGUCUCUACUAAAAAUACAAACAUUAGCCAGGCAUGGGGGUGGGUGCCUGUAGUUCCAGCUACUUGGGAGGCUGAGGCAGGAGAAUCACUUGAACUCGGGAGGCAGAGGUUGCAGUGAGCCAAGACAGCGCCAUUGCACUCCAGCCUGGGCGACAGAGCGAGACUCCGUCUCAAAAAUAACAUAAAAUAAAAUAAUAAAUAAAUUAUUAGAAAACCAUAUUUAUUUUGAGUAUUGAUAUUAUCAAGUAAGAUCAUUUGUACCACCUACUACAAGAGACUCAUAGACACAAUGUUAUGGGGUUUAAAUAAAGGAAAAGCUUUUCUACCUUGGCAUGAGGGGGGCUCAGGGUAGAAUGGAAGCCAAGGUGUGUGGCUAGGUAGUCCCUGGGCUGGGGCAGGACACAAGAAGGAAUUCAUUCGCUCAGGCAGCAAGGGAGCGUGAUGCUUCCCUGUGCCCUUGCUGACCCUCAUGAUCGUCUUUAAAGCUGACCAAUUAUAUUAGGUGACAGUGGCAUUUUGUAUUAAUUAACGCUUCUUUGAUUGUUAGUGAGGUUGACUGUUUUUCACAUGUAUAUAUUAAUCAUUUCUAUUCAUUCUUAUAGUUAUCUGUAAUUGUGUUCAUUGCCCAUUUUUCCACUGGAUGUUUGCAGUUUGUUAAUUUGUUGAAAGUGUUCCUUAUUAAGACACUGAUGCUUACACACACAUUUAUAUACACGUGAUACAAAUAUAUAGCAUAUAUAGCAAAUUGAAAUUUCUGGUUUAUUAUUUACCUUUUCAUUUUAACAUCAUCUUUAGAUAUGUAGUCAAAUUCUUU
rnacentral:lncRNA from 10 species